rnacentral:rRNA from 1 species
AGUGAACGCUGGCGGUAGGCCUAACACAUGCAAGUCGAACGGCAGCACAGUAAGAGCUUGCUCUUACGGGUGGCGAGUGGCGGCCGGGUGAGGAAUACAUCGGAAUCUACUUUUUCGUGGGGGAUAACGUAGGGAAACUUACGCUAAUACCGCAUACGACCUACGGGUGAAAGCAGGGGAUCUUCGGACCUUGCGCGAUUGAAUGAGCCGAUGUCGGAUUAGCUAGUUGGCGGGGGAAAGGCCCACCAAGGCGACGAUCCGUAGCUGGUCUGAGAGGAUGAUCAGCCACACUGGAACUGAGACACGGUCCAGACUCCUACGGGAGGCAGCAGUGGGGAAUAUUGGACAAUGGGCGCAAGCCUGAUCCAGCCAUACCGCGUGGGUGAAGAAGGCCUUCGGGUUGUAAAGCCCUUUUGUUGGGAAAGAAAAGCAGCAGGUUAAUACCCCGCUGUUCUGACGGUACCCAAAGAAUAAGCACCGGCUAACUUCGUG